rnacentral:rRNA from 1 species
ACGUAGGAGGCAAGCGUUGUUCGGAAUUACUGGGCGUAAAGCGCGCGUAGGCGGAAGGUGAAGCGUGGCCUGAAAGCCCCCGGCUCAACCGGGGAGGGCGGCUGCGAACUGGCCUUCUUGAGGGCGAUAGAGGGGGGUGGAAUUCCACGUGUAGCAGUGAAAUGCGUAGAGAUGUGGAGGAACACCGAUGGCGAAGGCAGCCCCCUGGGCCGACACUGACGCUCAGGCACGAAAGCGUGGGGAGCAAACAGGA